GAGUGCUAACUUAUAUUUAAAGUAUUAGAUUUUUAAUCUGAAGAAGGGUUUCCGCAUUCUG
rnacentral:tRNA from 1 species